rnacentral:rRNA from 1 species
UACGGAGGGUGCGAGCGUUAUCCGGAAUUACUGGGUUUAAAGGGUGCGUAGGCGGCUUUGUAAGUCAGGAGUGAAAGUUUGCGGCUCAACCGUAAAAUUGCUUUUGGUACUGCGAGGCUAGAAUUAGGAUGAGGUCAGCGGAAUGUGGCAUGUAGCGGUGAAAUGCAUAGAUAUGCCAUAGAACACCAAUUGCGAAGGCAGCUGGCUAGACCUGGAUUGACGCUGAGGCACGAAAGCGUGGGGAGCGAACAGG